rnacentral:rRNA from 1 species
GCCAGCAGCCAUAUCACUCUGCAACUCACAACUGGCAACCCACAGAAGCUAAGCAGGUGUGAGCCUGGGCAGUACCUGGAUGGGAGACCUCCUGGGAAAAACUAAGGUUGCUGCUGGAA